AAUUAAUUAUAGCCAGAAGAAGAAUUAAGAGUUCUAAAGCAUGGGAAGGUUUUCUAUGCAGGAGAGAUGACGCCCAUCCGUACGCAAAGCAAGAUCAAUUAUCCUCUUAAUCACCAGCUGUGUAAGGAGAGAGAGGUUAAUUGAGUUGGUGCAUGGGCGGGCGCCAUUUCCCCUGCAUACAAAAUCUUUUAUGCUAUAUAGUAUAAUAUAUUCAUCACAAUCAAACUUUUUAUUUCCUGGUUAUUUGAAAUUAUCGUACGUAAAUUAUAAUAAUAAAAAAUUGCAUGUUUAUAUAUAUAUAUAUAUAUAUAUAUAUAUAUUUCUUUAUGUUCAUGCAUGUGAUUGCAUGCAUCAUCGUCAAGUGAAUCAUAAAAUUACUUUAUAUUUGAAGUGAUCGAUCUUAAAUAAGCUAGAAUUCUUGAUUUUACCGUGUAAUUAUAAUUAUAAUUAUAAUUUGUUGCAGGUGAAGUAUUCUGUCCAAGUAGUUGAAGAGCAAUACAAAACAGAAGAGGAUUGGAGUUGCAGAUGUGGAUUAAAUUAUCAAGUUAUAGCUGGGUAUAUAUAUAGCCAUUCAUGUUGGAGCAAUUUUCCUUGGAUUUGUAUUAUUUUUUGUUUUAAUGAAAUUUUAUUUUGUUGAUGAAAAAAGACAAGACGAUUGGGAGAACUUGCACACCUGUUUUAUGAGGUAAUAUACGUUAAUUAUGA
rnacentral:lncRNA from 1 species